GAGAGCACUGCCAGGGGAUUAGAAUGACAAGUCUUUAUAUCUCCAUUAAUGGAUCAAACCCACAGUUCAAUGUCCCUUCUCAUCAACCCGUACUGUAUAAACAUGCCACCUUUUUCCCCCCCCAAAAAACCUCCAUGCGUCUCCUGCAUGGUUCUUGGGCUUCUCCCCAAUUUGUGUUCCACAAUCUUCUCUUUUAGGGCAUGAAUUCCAGUAGGCUGGGCAGAUUGUGGGGCUUGUUAGCGAGCCGUACUCUUUACCCUUCCCUUAAGUUGUUAAAGUUAGUUUACAGAGAUCCAGAUAGAUUCUAACACACUUAAUAAAAAAUAUUCACAUCUGGGUUUCUUACCACUCGUUGGCUCAGACUCUCCUGUCUGAAGGCAGCCGCAGUGCACACACUGGAACAGGAAACAGAUUUACUAACAGUACUGCAAGGAGGAAAUGCACCUGUACUUUGCUGCCUCAUCUGACUCUGAGUGAAAUCUGGGUUGGGGGACUUGGAAGGUUUUUUGUUUUGUUUUUUCCCCCAACCUUUAAUGUCAGUCCUCUUGCUUUACUGCUGCUUUCAUCUUUCUCUCACUCAGGGUGUGGGUUCACCUCAUGCUUCCCCCUGUGCCUUGAGCAGUCCCUCUCUGUAUCUACCAAAUGUUACGUUUGUGAGGUGCUGAAUUCUUAUUGCCUUUUGUUGGACUGGAAGGCACACAGCACAUUCCAGGAUUAGGCAAGUAGGAUAGACGCUCUUAGGCGCAGAGGAUGAGACUUGCUGUGCUUGUAAAGCACCUGGUACCUUUAUGCAGCUGUGUUAAGUCAUUUUUCAGACUCCCUUAAUACUAUUUUAAAUAACAACCCCACCUCCAUUAAUAGGGUUCUCAUUGCGCACCCUUCACAGAAAAGAUGCAACUACCUAUUUCACCAUGGAUUUAUUUAAGCAGCAUGAGAAAGUGGGGAUCUCCUUGGAAUUGAGUCUGAAUAAAAAAAAAACUGAAGUCAUAUUUUAUUCAUAUUAAACUUGAAAACUAACAUAGAGCACGUGUGCAGAAUUGGACUUUCAACAUACAGAAUCCUGGUUACUGCUAAUGCACAUCUCUUCAGACAUAUGAAACGCACAUGUCCUUGCUCAGGACUCUUACAAGCUGGAUGUUUUAAUAAGCAGUUUUUGAGCUUCCCAAGUUCUAACAAAGUGUCCAGAAACAAUUCCUCUAAUAUAAUGAAGAAGCAAGUUUGUUUAAUCUUA